UACGUAGGGACCGAGCGUUGUCCGGAUUCAUUGGGCGUAAAGAGCUCGUAGGCGGCCACUCAAGUCGAAUGUGAAACCUCGAGGCUUAACCUCGAGCCUGCAUUCGAUACUGGGCGGCUAGAGUCUGGUAGGGGGAUCUGGAAUUCCUGGUGUAGCGGUGAAAUGCGCAGAUAUCAGGAGGAACACCGGUGGCGAAGGCGGAUCUCUGGGCCGAUACUGACGCUGAGGAGCGAAAGCGUGGGGAGCGAACAGG
rnacentral:rRNA from 1 species